UACGUAGGGUGCGAGCGUUGUCCGGAAUUAUUGGGCGUAAAGAGCUUGUAGGCGGUUUGUCGCGUCUGCUGUGAAAAUCAGGGGCUCAACCCCGGACUUGCAGUGGGUACGGGCAGACUAGAGUGUGGUAGGGGAGACUGGAAUUCCUGGUGUAGCGGUGAAAUGCGCAGAUAUCAGGAGGAACACCGAUGGCGAAGGCAGGUCUCUGGGCCACUACUGACGCUGAGAAGCGAAAGCAUGGGGAGCGAACAGGAUUAGA
rnacentral:rRNA from 1 species